rnacentral:rRNA from 1 species
UACGUAGGGUGCGAGCGUUGUCCGGAAUUACUGGGCGUAAAGAGCUUGUAGGUGGCUUGUCGCGUUGUUCGUGAAAUCUCACGGCUUAACUGUGAGCGUGCGGGCGAUACGGGCAGACUAGAGUACUGCAGGGGAGACUGGAAUUCCUGGUGUAGCGGUGGAAUGCGCAGAUAUCAGGAGGAACACCGGUGGCGAAGGCGGGUCUCUGGGCAGUAACUGACGCUGAGAAGCGAAAGCGUGGGGAGCGAACAGG